AGGGCACCACCAGGAGUGGAGCCUGCGGCUUAAUUUGACUCAACACGGGAAAUCUCACCAGGCCCGGACACCGGAAGGAUUGACAGAUUGAGAGCUCUUUCUUGAUUCGGUGGGUGGUGGUGCAUGGCCGUUCUUAGUUGGUGGAGCGAUUUGUCUGGUUAAUUCCGAUAACGAACGAGACUCUGGCCUACUAACUAGACGUUGGAUCCCUUUGUGGGUCCAUCGCAGCUUCUUAGAGGGACGGGCGGCGUUUAGCCGCACGAGAUUGAGCAAUAACAGGUCUGUGAUGCCCUUAGAUGUUCUGGGCUGCACGCGCGCUACACUGAAGGAAUCAGCGUGUGUUCCCUAUCCGAAAGGAUUGGGAAACCCGUUGAACCUCCUUCGUGAUGGGGAUUGGGGAUUGCAAUUAUUCCCCAUGAACGAGGAAUUCCCAGUAGGCGCGAGUCAUAAGCUUGCGUCGAUUACGUCCCUGCCCUUUGUACACACCGCCCGUCGCUACUACCGAUCGAGUGAUUUUAG
rnacentral:rRNA from 1 species